rnacentral:sRNA from 1 species
GGUCAAUGUCGGAACAUUUAUGUAGCAGUAUGUGAUGAACAAUGCCCACAUUCUCUUUCUGUAUCACUGGCUCAAACUGAAAUCAGGGGAGAUCAUCAACGUGCGUCUUUACAUUGUACUAGCAUAGCUUGUUACCUAGAGACAGUAAAAUGAAGGUCCCGUGUGAUGACGUCACUUGGAAGGGGGACUUUCCGGGGUUCGGACAACAGCAUGAGACUUUUGGCGCCUCUGUGAGUCCCAUGGUACACCAGACUUCCCCUCUCGUGAUUGGGCUCGUUCUCACUGUAGGAAAAGAUAACUCGUACGGUGUCGUUCUAUUAAAAAAAACCAACAAUGUUUUAAAACCAAC